rnacentral:lncRNA from 1 species
UGCAUUUUGACCUUAUUUUUUUGAAUCAAUGUCUGUGAGCUGCAGAUUUUAAGUACCACCCACAACAUUUUCUUCGCUGCUGCUGUCUGGUGGAAUAUGCACUCUUGAGGUUCUGAUCGAGACUGCGUGAAAAAGGAAAGAACAUAUGCUAUCUUCAGAUGUUAAGGCACGAGGCAACACAAGGGACUGUGAACUGUGGACCUCCAGCCUAGUUGUUAGUGAUGACUUGUAGUCUUUAGAUGAAUGGCUUAAUCUUGUUGUAUUAUGUUGUGACACAAUUUAAAACUUCGUAAAAUUGUAUAAGCAAUUUUCCUGUAAGUCAUGCAGUAGAAAGAUGACAAGUUCUGUUUUACUGAAAAUGACAACUUGAUCUCAACCUGAAACUCUUUAUGUUUUCUGAGUUCUGACAAACUCAACUGUUCUCUCCCGUGUUCCUUUUCCUACAACCACAGCUGUGACAUCCUGAGUUGGAACUCUACCUGUUUAGUCAGAGGCAACAACUCAGACUCACGUUUCAAUUACUGUCCCAAGUCUCUUUUCAUCACUUUGCCAGGAAGAAAGCCUAACGCAGUACAUCUUUGUGCAUCAACCUUCAUGCUUUAGGAACAUGUAUUUAUUUAAAGGUGUACUGGACAUGACUUAGUUGAGACUGGCAUCUUCUUUUGGUCACCACAAGUUUCUUGAGAUGCUUUUAUUCAGGGCAAACUUACACACUGGAUGAGUGCAGUGUCAUGUUUUUCCUGGCAUAAUCCCUUGUUACACAUGUUGGUGCUUUAGUGUUUCCGUUUUGUUUUUUCUUGGUGUUUGGCUGCACUUUUGUGUCAUUUUGAUGUUUUCCACCUGAUACAGAAUGAAUCACAAUCAGUUGCGCGUUUGCGUGUAUUAGUGUAAACAUGAUUUAUAUGGUAAAGCUCUGCUAAGUUAAAUAGAUUCUGUUGCGCAUGUUUCUAGGAAAGCACACGCAUCGGGUCAGAACUUCUUUUACAAUGUUGUUUAUGCUGAGUUACAGUGCAAAUGUAUGGCUUUCUCUCUGAAAAAGUUACUGAUAUAAGGUUUCCCUUCCUGUCUAUUAUAAUCAGUUGUGAUGCCACGUAUCAGGUCUGCUAUGUGUUCCCGACUUGUGCUCAAAGGGGUGUACUUUGUACACACACAAGUCAAGGGCGAGUACUCACGGUCUCAACCAUAAGUUGAACUGGUCAUAUUUGGUUGAUGUUCCCAACGAGGUUUUGGAAAUGGUGUCAAUGGGGAUCAGGGCUGCAGGUUUAUAAACCAAGCACAAACACUUUCAGAAUCCCCGCAAAAAAACUAAAAAAAAACAAACACUUUCAGAAACUUGCUUCCGGAUUCUCAUUAUCCCCGUAAAUAUUUGUGGCUCCACAAACGACCUGCUUUCCUUAGAUGGUCAUUAAAUUUUGCAAUACAAUUUUGCCAAUGGGCAUACUUUUGCUUAUAUGUAGUCUAAGGUUCCCUUAUCUGGCCCUUAAAUUUCCUGGCAUGGCCAGUACGACAAUAGCUUCUGAAACAUUUCCCUGUGCUACUAUGUCGAUGCAGUGAGAAGCUAAAUUCUUGAUUGUUGUUCAUGUGUACUGCUGUUCAAGCUUAAUACUGACCAACCACUGGCAAACUUCAAUCUUGCAUACAUCCAGGGCAGCCAGCAACUGCAUUUCAUACCGUGUGCCCUCAGUUUUAUUGGUUGGUGUUGUCCUUGUGCAUAACUAACUUGUAGGGCGUGGCAGCAAUGUAUGUAUCUGCUGCCCCUACAGCAAACAAAUUGGAGGUUGGCAUUGGCCACAAAAAGACAUGGCAUGAUGGUUACAUGCUUCUCGUCGACUACUCCUAGCCUAGCUAAACAAUGAAAAGCGCUAGGUGCUAAACCUAUAAACACAAUCUUUGUCUCUGUCUUCCAAGUGAAGAGUGUCUUUUCUUUUUGUCUUUUAUUCCAAUAAUUGGGUCCAUGCACUCCUUGAAUUGUCAGAACUCGUCUCCAACUCAAAGAGUGCCGCUAGCUGUCUCAACUUUUAACCACCCCUCGUUCAGGCCUUCGAUGGCAAAACAAGAUAAUUGGGGCCGUGCUCAUUUACCAGUCAACAGUGGCCGUGGCCGCGACAUCCCCACGAGAGGUCGCGGCUGCUCGUUCAGCGGAAGAAGAUUGACACGGUUUGCGAGAUCGUCGCGGAGACGGGCGCAGAGGAGGCACAUGUGACCACGGAUGCCACCAGCUCCUUAUCAGUCUCGCCGCCCGCGCGGUUCAUGCCCGGCCAUAAGGCCAACUCCACCGCGCGAUCCUAAAUGGACGUUCGUUUUGUUCGGAUUCUGUCUGUUUGGAUAAAGAUUUGAUGUCGUAUCCGGACCUGUCCUGGGAUGCGGUGGCCGUGCGCCCAGCGCGCGGCCGCAUCCUUUUGCCCCAUCAUGUCCGGGUCUAUUUUUUUAAAAAAAGCGACGUUUCAAAUGCCAAGCCCCAGUUCACGACCCCAAUUCAUCACGCCGGCAACAAAGCCAGCGGCCUACACGACCAUCGCCGGCAUCCGCCAGCGGCCGGCAACACAGCCAGACUCCAAAAUGAAUAGUUGUCCUCGCCGGCAACACAGCCAGUGGCCGGCAACACAGCCGGCCUCCAAAAUGAAUGUUUUUUCGCCGGCACACUGCCAGCGGCCCAGCGGGCGGGCGGCACCCAUGCCAGCCUCCAAAAAGAACGGCCACACCGAUCGGACGACCUAGUUCAGGCCUUCGGCGUCGAGCAUCUCCUUCUGCUUGGCCUCGAACCAGGCCCUCGUCUUGUCGCUCAUGUUCGACAAGUCCACGCUCAUAAUCGCAAGGGCCACCUCCUUCGCUUUGGUGGCGGCAUUGGUGGCCUCGAUGUCGAGCUGCCUCUGCCUGGCCUUGACGUUGUCGGCCUCGAUGUCGAGCUGCCUUUGCCGGGCGGCCUCUUUCAUGUCGAGCUGCCUUUGCCGGGCCGCCUCCUCCAUGUCUAUCUUCCUUUUCUUGGCCGCCUCCUCCAUCUCAAGCUUCUUUCUUUGAAGGUCUAGGUAUUGCUUCAUUUGCUCGUCCUUGCUUUGCCGCUUCUUCUCGUUUCUCACAUCCUUUUGAGACAUAAUGCCAUGCAAAGUGUCAUGCAAUGCCAUGGAUGAGGCAUCACGUAUGUCAUCAACCUUGGAGUUGGUCUUGCCCCUCGGCCUCUUCAACGCCUCGCCAUCUCCACCUCCGGCGAACUUGGCCGUCUUCAGUCCUCUCUUCCUUUGUAGUUCACGGUAUUGGUCCUUGAACUUAGGGCAAUUGUUGAUGAGCGUCCAACAAUGCAUAAGAGUGAAUGGCUUGUCAUUGUGCCGGGCCUUGAAUGCCUCCAAAGAUUGAAAUACCUAUACCACAUGAUCAACAACAAGUGAACAUGCAAACAUAUACACGACCGAAGUCUCAUGGCUGUAGCAACGGAAAGGGCAAGAAAGAGGAGAGCAUACCAUGUCCCCAACGCCGAGUCCACUCAUGGGCCGUGUUUCAACGCUCUCAAAUGCGGUGCAAUACUUAUUGCACUCUUGUUGGAUGAAUAACCAUCUUUUUUUAAUCGAGCCGAUGCCACGGUUGCUUGUAAUUUGAUAGGGCUCAAACAUCUUCCUUUCAUGGAAUGUUUUGUAGACUCUCGUCCAAAAAACAAUGCCCUUUUGUUGCGCGCCGGUCCUUGGAUCUUGGCUAAUCUCCAUCCAAGCUUGGCAAAUCAACUUGUCCUCAGCUUGUGUAUAUGAACACGUGCGAAUGCUCUUCCGCUUCUUUUGUGCUUCCGCUCAGCUCGUCGAUGAACAAUGGCUCGCCACUAUUAUCAACAUCAUUGCCUUCAUCUUCAUCUUCACCUUCGACAUAGAUGUCAUCGUCUUCAUGCCACGAAUCACCAUGGUCGUGGUCAGCACGGUCGUCGGCCUCUUCAUCGGGCACGUACUGGGCGCGGCCAUCCUGACUUUGGGUCUCCUCGGGGUCGUAGGCACGGCCAUGCCCACCCUGGAAGAUCACGUCCUUCAUGUACUGGUUGUAGAAGGGGUCGUCGAUCGUUGGCGUUGAGGUUGGCAUUCCGUCAAACAACACGCGAGGGGCCGACAUGGUGCCCGUGAACGGUGCCCGCGCCUGCUUUCUUUGCAUCUCGACGGACGGCCGCCCGCCGCUGCUGGACCCAGGCGUGACGUUGAGGUCGAUGACGACCGCGGGGCAUGCUGUGGACGGCGCGAACAAGCCCACAUCCGGCGACGCCGAGAAACGGGUCUGGCCGUCGUGCCUUGGCGGAGGAAAGCCGGGCGACAUGGGCGCGGCGCGCGACAUCGGCGACUGGUAGUGCGUAGGUCGGGCGACCGACGAGCCUGUGCUCGCCGGGCCGACGGCCGCUGCAUGGAACCUCGCCGGACGGCCGCUGCAUGGAACCCCGCCGGAUGGCCCAUGCCAAGCAUGAGGAUGGCGUGCGCUUUGUUGACGAGGUCCUCCUUCUCGUCGGCAGCGGCCUUUCGCCGCGCGGCCUCCAGCUCCUCGCGUUGGGCGGCGAACUUGGCCGCGGCGGCAUUGACCUUGACGGCCGCUCUCCGUUCCCUCCUCUUCGCCGAAUCUGCGUCCAACUUGGCGAUCUCCUCCGGCGUGCACUCCGAUCGCGGCUUCCUUGGCGCCUUCUUCUUCAUCUUUGCGGUCGGGUCGACGGUCAGGCCGCCGGAACUCGGCGGGGCGUCGGCCAUGGACGGGGGAGAGAGGGGGCGGCGGGAGGGACGUGGGAGGGUUUGGGGGAAAUGGCGCCAAAUGGGCGUGGGGGUUUUGGUUUCUCCCACCGACAGGCGGGCCAGGGGAGGACAAGCGCGCGCGUCCCGCCCGUCCGCGCGUUGUCCGUUUCACCUCAAAAACGGCGCAAACUUGGGCCGGUGAUGGGUCGAAAGCGGACACAAAGCGGACAAAAGUCCGUUUGCGUCCGCGCGCUGGGCCGUCUCGUUUGUCCCUUUUGCCCCAAACGGAUGGAGGCGGACAAAAUAGGGUCGCGCGGUGGAGUUGGCCUAAUGACCAUGAGGUCGGCCUGUCCACCUCAACCCGCGCCGUCUACACAUGAGACUCAGGUGAGGAAGAGUAGGAUGUGGGACACCAGACGUGCCCAUGUCUGGUGUCCCAUGUGUGCCAUGUCUCAAGUUUCACUCUUCCCCUUACCAGCGAGCUGCAACUUCACUUCACAGAGCUCACAGUCGUUGAGCUCACAUUUUGCCACCGUCGGCGAAGAUUUAGGCUAGGAUAAAAAAAUGUCAUGUCCGUUUUUGUCUAAUUAAAAUAUGUAAAAAAAAAUGUAAUGAGUUUUGUUCGGUUUAAAUGAAACCGUUCACUUUGCAUGAAAAUUGUUUGGUUUGUUUAAAUUCCGAUUGAAUGUGUCCAAACGUCUGAUAGAUAGAGACAUAGAGUUGAAUAGUUGGCUCGUGUAUGAUCAUCCCCGGAUGCAUCCGGAUACGUCGAUGGACGAAUACUGUGUCUGUUUUAGACCCUAUAUGAAAGCAGCGUUUCUCGUCCUAUCUAUCCUCAGGUUUUCCCACGUCAAAGCAAACAUACCGUCUCAUCUGCAUCACGGGCAUCACCACCACACGCGGGCGCGGUACCCAUGGGCGUGCAUGCACGACAGCGGCGAACACGAGAACCAAAAAAAAAAACGGCGAACCAACCUAUGAUAUUUCCAGUCCAUCAGGGUUCAAAUCCUUAUGCUCACAUUUAUUUCUGAAUUUAUUUCAGGAUUUCCGGCAAUGCGCAUUCAGUGGAAAGAGACGUUCCCGUCGACGACGAGGCGCCUACGGUGACUUCGUAUAUCUCAAGAUGAUAUGUCGGCUCAGUCUUUCGGAGGUGCUCAUAGAGGUAGGGUGUGCGUGUGUGUGUUCAUAGGGAUGAGUGUAUGCGCGUGUAUACGAACGCUUGUGUCUGUACUGAUGUUAAAAAAAAAGAACCAAACGGAACGUGCACAACAGAUUCUGCCUCUCUUCCACGACGCCGUCGCGACUAAUCUGCCCCGGCGCCACGGGAACCGACGAGUCGGAUUCCGAGCCACUCCUAGAAGCAGCCCAGACACCGCCAUCGACCGGCGCUGACCAACCGCUCCGCGACGCACCUCCGCCCCUCUGGGUCGCCGCGCCGGAGCGCCAGGCGCGAGGCGACGAACUAUUUUGGUCGAAGAUUUCGAAUCUUGGCUUCUCGUACACCGGCUCAUUGCUGCUCCUGGCCUGCUGGUACGCAUGGGACAUUCUUUACGCUGAGCAGGACAGGCAAGAGCUGACUCUUCCCCUUGACCUUCAGAAGAUCUCGUACUGUGGAGCAACUGAGAUUCGCCGAUUCCUCUCUCGCGUACGCCGCGCAGAUUUUGUUCGUAUGUUCGAGGAUUUGACAUCGAGUCGAUGUGAUUCCCCUCGCACGGUCUACUCGUCCAAGAUACUGUGGGCGUACGUGAUGUGACUGAUAAAUGACACUGGGCAACACCUCUCUCAGCCCGAGCAAGAGAAAGAAGACGACAAUGCCGGUGCAGGUGAGCGGCCAACAGUAUCAUCGCCGGUCGUUAUAGGCGCUUAAUUUGCUGCGUGCUACGGGCUACACCCUACACGGCUACACAUGCUGGACCGGUGCUCUAACCCUGGGUGGUUGGAUGGAGGGAGGACCGAAUUAGUUGGGGAAUUUGCGCCGCGCCAUGAGUGCAAUUUGAGAACCUUCUGACUUUUCUGAGGUUCCGAGCGUCAUUGAAAGAUGGGCUAGCCAGGUGUAGCAAUGCUGAUCGCGUACGUGUCAGCCAUUAUGUAAUUCCUGCCUGGUUGCUUGCAGUCCUGCCACCGUGUUAAACUCAUCGAGCCUUUCUUUUGCUUCAGGAACAAGUGAUCAGUCCCAUCGAGCUCUCAUCAGAAAACUAGCAAAGUUGUGCGCGUUUUACUGCGCUGUUGAUGUUGUUGGAUUUUCGUACUCCUUAUUUUUAAAAUAUAAGAUGUAUUAGAGCAACUCCAAUGAAGCUACCCAAACAGACGGUGCAUUUGUCCUUUUUUAUCCGUUUGGGUCAGCCGCCCGACGUCAGCCCCGUUUUGUAUUUGGGUCGGCAGUGCGCCCAACGCGCCGAUCCAUUUCAUGUCCGCAUUCAACUUUUAAAUAAAAAAAGGCCCGCGGUCGAUCAUUGUCAGCGGCCAUGUCUCAUGCCGGCACCAUACCAGCGCCGGCAUACAAUGCCGGCUUCAGAAAAUACCACAGUUUAUGCUGGCGCACUCGCCAGCCGGCCGGCACAUAUGCCAGCACACAAAAAAGGGCGGGACUUGAGUUCGACCACGUCGUCGCGGCUUCCGUGGUCAUGCCAGCACACCUGUCGGCAUACAAAAAAGAUGGCCCUCGACGGCAUAGAUCACUCGUCGUCGAAUUUGAGCAUGUCGGACUGCAUCUUCUCGAACCACGGCCUCUUCCUUGGCGACACGGUGUUGAGAUCCACCUUCAUGAUCUCCACCCCGGUCAUCAUGCUUCCAAGAGACACUUCUUUCGUCUUUGUCUUGGCGUUGGCGGCCUCGAUCUCUAGCAUUUUGGCUUGCUUCUCCACCUCGAGCUCGAACAUCUUGGCUUGCUUCUCGGCGUCAAGAUCAAGCCUCCUCCUUUGGAUCUCCAUGAAAGCAUCCAUUUGCUCCGCCUUGAAACGCCGUCGCUCCUCCUCCCUUGAGUCCUUCUUGUUAAUCAUGCCGUCCACGCUUGCGAUCAAGGCGUUGGUGGCCGUAUCUCGCUUGUCCUCCUUCUUAGAGUUGGUCUUCCCCCUCGGCCGUGCCGGCUCGCCCUCCUCAACAUCCUUCACGGCUUUCUUCCCCCCACGUGCCUUGAGGGCGGCAUAUUGCGCCUUGAACUUCUCUUCGUCCUUGAUGACCCGAUAGCAAUGGGAGAGGUUGAAGUACUUGCCAUUGUGUUGAACCUUGAAUGCCUCCAAAGCUUGAAAUGCCUACAAAAUGUUUCCAUGCAAGCAUAUGGACAAGUGAUAGCAAAUGAAGACGUAAAAGGAUGAUCUUGAUGGCACAAAAGAGGGUGGCUUGCUUGCUAUCAUACCAUGUCUUGCACGUCGAUGCCGCUCACGGGGUGGGCCUUGACGCUCUCAAAGGUGGCGCAAAACUUCUUGCACUCUUGUUGGAUCACCCUCCACCGCUUGGAAAUGGAGACCCACCCGCGCAUGCUCACAAAUUGGUAAGGUGGAAACUUCUUGCACUCAUGAAACUCGCGGUGCACACGAGUCCAAAAGGUCGAAUGCUUUUGCUCGACGCCCGUCUUUGGGUCUUGUCCAAUGUCUCGCCAACACUCGCAAAGAAGCUUGUCCUCGGCAGCUGUGUACGCCUUUGUGCGCUUGCUCUUGCGCUUCGGCUUAGGACCGAUGGCUUGGUUGACGAGCUCAUCCUCGAACAAAGGCUCCACUUCGAUGUCGCACUCGUCCUCUUCCUCUAUCCCAUAGUCGUCCAGGAACUCGUGGUCGAGGGGGAAGCCAUCCAGGUCGAUGCCGACCUGAUCACGCAUGAAGGCCGCCUGAUCGGGAUCAUAGCCAGCGGCCGGCGUGAACGCCUCGCGGCUGUCCUGGCUUUGUGUCUCCUCGGGAUAGUAGCCAGCGCCCGGCGCACCAUCCUCGAAGAUGAGGUUUUGCAUGUAGUCCUCGUCGACGGCGGACGACAUUUUCUUGAAUAGGUUACGGGCAUCCGGGAGCCCGCCGGCCGGCAUCUGUCAUGCGCGUUUCCUCGUGCCGACGGAUGACGAGCCACCGAUCACCGGGGUGGCGUUGAGGUCGAUGGGCGUGGGCGCGGGCGUGGAAGGCGCGACCACGCUCACGUCGGAUGAGCACUCCCCGGAGAGGCGGGAGGCCUGUGGGUAGACGUGGAAGCCGGGGACCGGGUUCCAAGCCAAUGCGCGGGGUGAGUCGGGCAUCACCAUCCGAGGAAACGCCGACGAGCCGAUGCUGGCCGCGGCAACGGCGGCUUGGAGGAUGCUGUGCUGGCUAGGGUUUACCCCUAGCAUGUAGAGCGCCUACCUCGUUGCCGCGACGACGCGGGCGUUGGUGAACUCUUGCUGCGCGGCGGCCUCAUCCCUCGCGUCGGCGGCGUGCCUCUGACCCUUCCUCUUGGCCGACUUCCCUUGCCCGCUGUUCGGGCGUCAGCGUCUUCUUCGGCUUGGUCGCGGCGAAGGUCUUGCGUGGGGCAUGAGUCUUGCCUUUCCCGGAGGGGUGACGGCGCCGGACGAGGCGAGGGAGGCGAGGCCGGCGGCGGCGUCGAGGUCGAGGUCGAUGGCGUCCUCCAUGGCUGGUUAGGGGGCAGGGGCGUGCACGGGCGGGAGCGUUUUUGGAAAAAAUGGAGGAAAUGAUGGUGGCUGCUAUCGACCGACGGGCCCGGGGAGAGGAGUAGGCGCGCGCGCAUCCGUCUCGUGUCCACGCCGAUGCAAAUCCGGCUCAAAAUUGUGCCCGGAAUGGAUCACCCGUGGACCAAAAUGGACGCGCAUCCGUUUAGGUUAGCGCGUUGGGCCGUCACUUUUGUCCGCGCCAACCCAAACGGACGCGGACGGACGAAAUGGGUCGCCCCAUUGGAGUUGAUGUUAGUUAUUUGAGAAGUUAAACUUCUUUAAGUUUGACAAAAUUUUAUAGAGAAAUAUAUCAAUAUCCAUAAUAUCAAAUCUAUCAUUAGAUUCAUCAUGAAAUGAAAUUUCAUAAUUUAUUUAUCUCUACUCCUCUAAAAGACUCAGUUGGUGAUGAUGAUGUGCCUGCCAUCCGUCAUUUCUGACCAUUAGAUUUGCAUCUAACGACUUUGAGAUAAGUUGUGGCCUUUUUGCAACAAUAGCUCACUUCUCUGCUCCAAUUCACAGAAAAUCCCUUAUUAUCUCAGAAACCAAUCUCAUCCCUCCCUCGUCUCAUCAAAACAACCCAAGGAAUAUAUUUUGAGUGAAACAUAAUAUAUUUUUAGUGAUAUAUGUAUAUCAAAACUAGAAUAUUUCUUUCAAGUUUGUGAACAAGUAUUAUUCUACUUUGGAUCUGUUGCAACGCACAUGCACAUCGCUAGUUUAGUAUCGUAGAUGUCGAUAUUUUUGGCUUCGAACUUGAUCAACAUUAAAGAAAUUCGACUUUUCAAAAAACAAAUGCACAUUAUAUUUCGGAACUGAGGGAGUAUUUGGUUUGGCAAGUGGGAAGAUGAUGUAGUGUUUUUAUUUAUUUAUUUAUAAUGCGAUACUCCCUGGGUCUUUCGCGGUGUGAUUUUGUGUUAUCUGCGAAUCAACCCAUACUUAUGUGUGAAAAUUUUCUAGGUCUGUGGCUGCAUGUACUUUAUUGAUGUUACUAUAUCACAAGUUGGCAAUCCUUUUUCUAAGCGGUGAGAGGGUGCGCAGAAUUGAUAUGUUCUUGUUGACCGGUUGCUGCCAAUUGAUUUGAAAAUCGUUGACCCGAUCAAAAUUGUGAAUCAAAUUCAAAAUUAAAUACCACAAUCAAAUGUAAAAGCUCCCAAUUCAAGGAGCAUAACGGAUUAAAAUAAUUAAAUAAGAGAGCUUCUUGAGGAAUUAUUGAUCUGAUGAAAAUCGAAUGACCCAAUUUCAAAUUGAAGACUUCGAUUGAUUGUGAGGGCUUAAAAAUUAGGGAGCAGAUAGAUAGAUAUAGAUUCGACGAGCUAGGGGUUUAUAUUGGCAAUCAUUUAAGACAUGGGGCAUACCGUAUACUACAAGAAAACAGAGGGUGAUGGAUAUACUUUUUAGGAAAUGAAACCCUAUUAUCCCGACCUCUGCAACAAAUAGGAAUGCACAUAGGCACAAGAGGGCAACUAAUGCAACAGUUUGGAUACUUUCAUUUCCGAGAGAAAAUAAAAGGGUUACUUUCUUUUGCAAGAAAUGUUGGAAAUAUGCCCUAGAGGCAAUAAUAAAAGCAUUAUUAUUAUAUUUCCUUGUUCAUGAUAAUUGUCUUUAUUCAUGCUAUAAUUGUGUUAUCCGGAAAUCGUAAUACAUGUGUGAAUAAUAGACACCAACAUGUCCCUAGUAAGCCUCUAGUUGACUAACUCGUUGAUCAAUAGAUAGUCAUGGUUUCUUGACUAUGGACAUUGGAUGUCAUUGAUAACGAGAUCACAUCAUUAGGAGAAUGAUGUGAUGGACAAGACCCAAUCCUAAACAUAGCACAAGAUCGUAUAGUUCGUUUGCUAGAGUUUUCCAAUGUCAAAGUAUCUUUUCCUUGGACCAUGAGAUCGUGUAACUCCCGGAUACCGUAGGAGUGCUUUGGAUGUACAAACGUCACAACGUAACUGGGUGACUAUAAAGGUAUACUACGGGUAUCUCCGAAAGUGUCUGUUGGGUUGACACGGAUCAAGACUGGGAUUUAUCACUCCGUAUGACGGAGAGGUAUCACUGGGCCCACUCGGUAAUGCAUCAUCAUAAUGAGCUCACAGUGACCAAGUGUCUGGUCACGGGAUCAUGCAUUACGGUACGAGUAAAGUGACUUGCCGGUAACGAGAUUGAACGAGGUAUUGGGAUACCAACGAUCGAAUCUCGGGCAAGUAACAUACCGAUUGACAAAGGGAAUUGUAUACGGGGUUGCUUGAAUCCUCGACAUCGUGGUUCAUCCGAUGAGAUCAUCGAGGAGCAUGUGGGAGCCAACAUGGGUAUCCAGAUCCCGCUGUUGGUUAUUGACCGGAGAGUCGUCUCGGUCAUGUCUACAUGUCUCCCGAACCCGUAGGGUCUACACACUUAAGGUUCAGUGACGCUAGGGUUGUAGGGAUAUGUAUAUGCAGUAACCCGAAUGUUGUUCGGAGUCCCGGAUGAGAUCCCGGAUGUCACGAGGAGGUCCGGAAUGGUCCAGAGGUAAAGAAUUAUAUAUAGAAAGUGCUAUUUCGGGCAUCGGGACAAGUUUCGGGGUCACCGGUAUUGUACCAGGACCAUCGGAAGGGUCCCGGGGGUCCACCGGGUGGGGCCACCUGCCCCGGGGGGCCACAUGGGCUGUAGGGGGUGCACCUUGGCCCAUAUGGGCCAAGGGCACCAACCCCAAGAGGCCCAUGCGCCUAGGGUUCAAGGAAGGGAAGAGUCUCAAAAGGGGAAGGCACCUCCUAGGUGCCUUGGGGAGGAGGGAUUCCUCCCUUGGCCGCACCCCCCUAGGAGAUUGGAUCUCCUAGGGCCGGCACCCCCCCCUUGGACUCCCUAUAUAUAGUGGGGAAAGGAGGGCCUCUCAUAACACAUCUUUGGUGCCUCCCUCUCCCUCUCCAACACCUCCUCCUCCUCCAUAGAGCUUAGCGAAGCCCUGCCGGAGUACUGCAGCUCCACCACCACCACGCCGUCGUGCUGCUGCUGGAGCCAUCUUCCUCAACCUCUCCUUUCCCCUUGCUGGAUCAAGAAGAAGGAGACGUCACGCUGACCGUACGUGUGUUGAACACGGAGGUGUCGUCCGUUCGGCGCUAGGAUCUCCCAUGAUUUUGAUCACGUCGAGUACGCCUUCCUCAUCCCCGUUCUUUGAACGCUUCUGCGCGUGAUUUACAAAGGUAUGUAGAUGCAAUCCGAUCACUCGUUGCUAGAUGAACUCCUAGAUGGAUCUUGGUGAAACCGUAGGAAAUUUUUUGUUUUCUGCAACGUUCUCCAACAAGAAAAUAUAUGGACUAUCUAUUCACAACAUUGGCAAAAGAGAGAUUGGGACAUAUGUUUAGAUUUUAAUGAAUUCAUUCAGUGGUUUAUGCAAACCAAGCAAACUAUUCAAGACAUUUUUGCAACUCUUAAUGAACCACCGAAUACUCAUGAUACAAAAAUGCAAGGUUGAGCUCCAACUAUUACCCCGAAGGAAAAACGAGAACUCCGCCUAUUGAAUCACGCAAAAUAUCAAAAGUAUAGAAACUUUAAACUAUACCUUUUUCCGAAUACACAGAGGAAAAUGAUAAUGACGUCUAAUAUGCUGUUAAAAAAGGAUGGAAUGAAGUCUAGGAAGGCGUCAAUAUAAAUUUUCGCAAUCUCUAUCCUAGGAUUGGAGGUUCUAUAUAAAAACUACUCUCUCCAAUCCAUAUUACUUGUCGCUCAAAUGGAUGCAUCUAGACAUAUUUCAGUGCUAGAUACAUCCAUUUGAGUGAUAAGUAUUUUGGAUCGGAGGGAAUGCAUAGUAAUGACGCAAAGUUUUUUGUGGAUCCAAAGAGGAUCAAAUAAAUUUCAAAUAAUUGGUAGUAUGAUAGACUCACCAUCAUCCCUUAACCAUGUUAGUUUUCUCAUAGAGUAGAACCUUUGUGACGUUAUGGCUUGUUGAAUUUUUAUAAAACCUUAUUAAAAUAUAUGAAAAAUUAAGGGCUUAUCCUUUUGGGGCUUAUGAGUGUCUGUCAAAAUAAGUUGCCCAUACCCAGAAGAAAAUUUUAGGCUAACCUGCCAGAAUAAACUGUACAUGAGGCAACUUAUUUUGGCAGUCGCCCAUAGGCCCCGAAAGAACCGCUUAAAUCUUUAUACCGUGCGCAUUUUUGGUUGCAAAAUAAGUAGAAGAAAACAUAUUUUUUGGGGGAAAAGAAAACAUGUUUACACAAACACAGGCUGUUUUCCCAUGACUUCCGAGCUCGUGUUAGAAACCUUCAUUCCUACGGUUUGAGCCACUACACAUGAUUCUCACAAGCUCAUUCAUGUGACCCAACUAGUAAAGUCUUAAAUCAAAUGGCAUGGACCUCCGUCGCUUCUGCUACAAGUGACCAGCCGUAAUUAGUGCCGUGGUAAUGCUAGCAUACUACCGGAGAUCCCACUAGCGAAAUCCGAUGAUUUACAAAAAAUGGUGGGGUACCUCUACGAGCAACGAGUUGUCGUAAUCCUGAUGAGCUCUCUCGCCUUCUUUUUUGAGAUGAGUUCGCUCGCUCGCUCGCCUUUUGAUAGAGUUCUCGACGCCGCUUUCGUGGGGCCGGCGUGUGGGGGUAGCGACACGGAUGGCAUUUUUCGUGCGCCGCAAAAGGACACGGCCAGCGCCGCGGCUGCCGAGUCAAAACCGCAGGCGCUUUUCACCCUAACGUUUGUUUUGUGCUGCUAGAUGCCUUCGACCUACUACUUCAGGCCCUCCUCUUAUCUUUUGUUUUACUCGCCGUGUUUUCAAACCCAAAUUUUGAAACCUACCGAGCCGAACUUCGAGAUCUAUCAUCUGCAUUUUUUUUUUGUAUUUCAAGACACUGCUCAAACCAAUCAUACGAAAGGCCUAACACAACGUGUUUUGAAAUGUUUCUUAUUCUCUCCGAUCUGUAUUAAUUUUCGCUGAUUUUAUAUAUACUAAAUCAUCGACAAUUGAUAUGAAUAGGAGGGAGUAUUACUUUUAGAUAUACAAGACCUCUUGCAAAAAUACAUAAAAGCCGAAGAAUUUUUUUAUUCUUGAUUCAAUCACAUUAAUUUGGCUCCAUUUAAUUACCCGGGGGCAUUUACAACAAAUACUAUUCGAUUUAAUAUUGUCAAUGUACAUUAUACUUUACAACAAUCUUUUAUAAAUUGCAAUAGGCCUUCAUGAGAAUUAUUUUGCGACUUCACAUUAAUGUUU